UAUACGGCGAAACUGCGAAUGGCUCAUUAUAUAAGUUAUCGUUUAUUUGAUAGCACCUUACUACUUGGAUAACCGUGGUAAUUCUAGAGCUAAUACAUGCUAAAAAUCCCGACUUCGGAAGGGAUGUAUUUAUUAGAUUAAAAACCAAUGCCCUCUGGGCUCUCUGGUGAUUCAUGAUAACUUCUCGAAUCGCAUGGCCUUGCGCCGGCGAUGGUUCAUUCAAAUUUCUUCCCUAUCAACUUUCGAUGUUUGGGUAGUGGCCAAACAUGGUUGCAACGGGUAACGGAGGGUUAGGGCUCGACCCCGGAGAAGGAGCCUGAGAAACGGCUACUACAUCCAAGGAAGGCAGCAGGCGCGCAAAUUACCCAAUCCCGACACGGGGAGGUAGUGACAAUAAAUACUGAUACAGGGCUCUUUUGGGUCUUGUAAUUGGAAUGAGUACAAUUUAAAUCCCUUAACGAGGAACAAUUGGAGGGCAAGUCUGGUGCCAGCAGCCGCGGUAAUUCCAGCUCCAAUAGCGUAUAUUAAAGUUGUUGUGGUUAAAAAGCUCGUAGUUGAACCUUGGGCCUGGCUGGCCGGUCCGCCUCACCGCGUGCACUGGUCCGGCCGGGCCUUUCCCUCUGUGGAACCCCAUGCCCUUCACUGGGUGUGGCGGGGAAACAGGACUUUUACUUUGAAAAAAUUAGAGUGCUCCAGGCAGGCCUAUGCUCGAAUACAUUAGCAUGGAAUAAUGAAAUAGGACGUGCGGUUCUAUUUUGUUGGUUUCUAGGACCGCCGUAAUGAUUAAUAGGGACAGUCGGGGGCAUCAGUAUUCAAUUGUCAGAGGUGAAAUUCUUGGAUUUAUUGAAGACUAACUACUGCGAAAGCAUUUGCCAAGGAUGUUUUCAUUAAUCAGGAACGAAAGUUAGGGGAUCGAAGACGAUCAGAUACCGUCGUAGUCUUAACCAUAAACUAUGCCGACUAGGGAUCGGACGAUGUUAUUUUUUGACUCGUUCGGCACCUUACGAGAAAUCAAAGUGCUUGGCUCC
rnacentral:rRNA from 1 species